GCACGAAAUAACCAAGUGUAAGGCUAAAGUAGACCCGGCUCUUGGUAUGUGUUUCUUUCAGUUUUUUGUUUUGUUCAUGGGGAAAGCCAAUAAAUAGCACCUUGGGUAUUUUUUUUAACACAAUUUGUUACGAGUGUGCCACUUAGUAUUUGGAAAUCAUAUGAGAUUAAAUUUUAAGUUAUGUAAAUAUAUUUUUUAUUCAGAGUAUUUUAAAAUAAUGUUAAUUUUAUGACUUGCCAUAUGUAUUGUCAACUGAAUAGGAACUGUUGAUUUUUACAGGCGAAUUUCCUUUUGCAAAAUGUUUUGUUUGUGGAGAAAUGGGGCACCUGUCUAGAUCUUGUCCUGAUAAUCCCAAAGGACUCUAUGCUGAUGGUGGCGGUUGCAAACUUUGUGGCUCUGUGGAACAUUUAAAGAAAGAUUGCCCUGAAAGUCAGAAUUCAGAGCGAAUGGUCACAGUUGGUCGCUGGGCAAAGGGAAUGAGUGCAGACUAUGAAGAAAUUUUGGAUGUACCUAAACCGCAAAAACCCAAAACAAAAAUACCUAAAGUUGUUAAUUUUUGAUAACAGCUAGCACUAUCAUGAGUUACCACCUCAUUGUUACUUUCUAAACCAGGCCCGCUUCACGAGUUAGAGUUGAGCUCCCCUGUAGCCAGGACUAUGCUGUAGAUAUCAGUAUGAUCUGGGUGUGGCCAAAAACAAUUUUCUUUAUUCUGUCUAUCAAAUAGUACUUCUACCACUGUUUGGAGAAAAUUGAAGAAAAAAAUAAGAUGAUUAAAUGAAUUCUCUAAAAGAACAUAUUUUAAGAGACAGAACUUAGACAUAACCAAGUAGUUGUAUACCUGAUUGUAACAAUCAUCUUUUAUAAAAGCAAA
rnacentral:sRNA from 1 species